rnacentral:rRNA from 1 species
AGACGUCUACAUUAGAUACCCCCGGUAGUCCCAGCCGUAAACUAUGCUCGCUAGGUGUCAGGCAUGGCGCGACCGUGUCUGGUGCCGCAGGGAAGCCGUGAAGCGAGCCACCUGGGAAGUACGGCCGCAAGGCUGAAACUUAAAGGAAUUGGCGGGGGAGCACAACAACGGGUGGAGCCUGCGGUUUAAUUGGACUCAACGCCGGACAACUCACCGGGAACGACAGCAAUAUGUAGGCCAGGCUGAAGACCUUGCCUGAAUCGCUG